ACAACAUUACUGGGGCUAGGUGAGAGUAGAUACAACACAACAUUACUGGGGCUAGAUGAGAAUAGAUACAACACAACAUUACUGGGGCUAGGUGAGGGUAGA